rnacentral:rRNA from 1 species
AACGAACGCUGGCGGCAUGCCUAACACAUGCAAGUCGAACGAGACCUUCGGGUCUAGUGGCGCACGGGUGCGUAACGCGUGGGAACCUGCCCUUAGGUUCGGAAUAACUCCCCGAAAGGGGUGCUAAUACCGGAUAAUGUCUUCGGACCAAAGAUUUAUCGCCUUUGGAUGGGCCCGCGUUGGAUUAGCUAGUUGGUAGGGUAAAAGCCUACCAAGGCGACGAUCCAUAGCUGGUCUGAGAGGAUGAUCAGCCACACUGAGACUGAGACACGGCCCAGACUCCUACGGGAGGCAGCAGUGGGGAAUAUUGGACAAUGGGCGAAAGCAUGAUCCAGCAAUGCCGCGUGAGUGAUGAAGGCCUUAGGGUUGUAAAGCUCUUUUACCCGGGAUGAUAAUGACAGUACCGGGAGAAUAAGCUCCGGCUAACUCCGUG